CAGCCGCCGCGGUAAAACGUAGGUGGCAAGCGUUGUCCGGAAUUAUUGGGCGUAAAGGGCUCGCAGGCGGUUUCUUAAGUCUGAUGUGAAAGCCCCCGGCUCAACCGGGGAGGGUCAUUGGAAACUGGGAAACUUGAGUGCAGAAGAGGAGAGUGGAAUUCCACGUGUAGCGGUGAAAUACGUAGAGAUGUGGAGGAACACCAGUGGCGAAGGCGACUCUCUGGUCUGUAACUGACGCUGAGGAGCGAAAGCAUGGGGAGCGAACAGGAUUAGAUACCCGCGUAGUCCCUGUCUCUUAUAC
rnacentral:rRNA from 1 species